rfam:Ovis aries breed Texel chromosome 1, whole genome shotgun sequence.
UCCCUAGUAGCUUAGCUGGUAAGGAAUCUGCCUGCAAUGCAGGAGACCCUGGUUCAAUUCCUGGGUUGGGAA